rfam:Nestor notabilis contig78252, whole genome shotgun sequence.
UGCAUACGCUUUUCCGCAUUCUUCCUCAUGGCCAAAAGCAAAUAUUUAUUCCCCGCAUAUUUUUCCUUUUCUUUCAGGCUCCAGUUUUGAAACCUGUGGAUUCCCCGGCCAAACAUUGCUUGACUGACAUGAAGUGGGUCGGUUUGUUUCCCUCUGUUUUCUCGAGGCUGCUUCUGAAAAUCGUGCUGCAGCGGAGCGGGGGGAAAGGGGGGAAGAAGUGGGAAGAGAAGGCAGCUCUAUGGGGCAGCGCUGUUUUACAUACGGGUUAGACACGGCUAGAGGCCAAGGUCAAGUUGAAAGUUGCAGUCUAGCCAAUGUGAGAACUGUCAUUCACAGCCCGAAGAUCCGUCUGAUUUGUUAAAAAGCGGGUAGCCAUGAGAACACUAAUCUCUCCAGCUCGCCCCCCUCC